rnacentral:rRNA from 1 species
CUCCUGGAUUCAGCGGCGGACGGGUGAGUAAUGCCUAGGAAUCUGCCUGGUAGUGGGGGAUAACGUCCGGAAACGGGCGCUAAUACCGCAUACGUCCUGAGGGAGAAAGUGGGGGAUCUUCGGACCUCACGCUAUCAGAUGAGCCUAGGUCGGAUUAGCUAGUUGGUGGGGUAAAGGCCUACCAAGGCGACGAUCCGUAACUGGUCUGAGAGGAUGAUCAGUCACACUGGAACUGAGACACGGUCCAGACUCCUACGGGAGGCAGCAGUGGGGAAUAUUGGACAAUGGGCGAAAGCCUGAUCCAGCCAUGCCGCGUGUGUGAAGAAGGUCUUCGGAUUGUAAAGCACUUUAAGUUGGGAGGAAGGGCAGUAAGUUAAUGCCUUGCUGUUUUGACGUUACCAACAGAAUAAGCACCGGCUAACUUCGUGCCAGCAGCCGCGGUAAUACGAAGGGUGCAAGCGUUAAUCGGAAUUACUGGGCGUAAAGCGCGCGUAGGUGGUUCAGCAAGUUGGAUGUGAAAUCCCCGGGCUCAACCUGGGAACUGCAUCCAAAACUACUGAGCUAGAGUACGGUAGAGGGUGGUGGAAUUUCCUGUGUAGCGGUGAAAUGCGUAGAUAUAGGAAGGAACACCAGUGGCGAAGGCGACCACCUGGACUGAUACUGACACUGAGGUGCGAAAGCGUGGGGAGCAAACAGGAUUAGAUANCCUGGUAGUCCACGCCGUAAACGAUGUCGACUAGCCGUUGGGAUCCUUGAGAUC